CGUAGGGUGCGAGCGUUAAUCGGAAUUACUGGGCGUAAAGCGUGCGCAGGCGGUUUAGUAAGACAGGCGUGAAAUCCCCGGGCUCAACCUGGGAACUGCGCUUGUGACUGCUAAGCUAGAGUACGGCAGAGGGGGUGGAAUUCCACGUGUAGCAGUGAAAUGCGUAGAGAUGUGGAGGAACACCAAUGGCGAAGGCAGCCCCCUCGGGUCGAUACUGACGCUCAUGCACGAAAGCGUGGGUAGCAAACAGGAUUAGAUACCCUGGUAGUCCACGCCCUAAACGAUGUCAACUAGGUGUUGGGAGGGUAAAACCUUUUAGUACCGGAGCUAACGCGUGAAGUUGACCGCCUGGGGAGUACGGCCGCAAGGUUA
rnacentral:rRNA from 1 species